CCCGGGCCUUGUACACACCGCCCGUCACACCAUGGGAGUUGGCUUUACCCGAAGGCGUUUCGCUAACCGCAAGGAGGCAGACGACCACGGUAGGGUCAGCGACUGGGGUG
rnacentral:rRNA from 1 species